AGGGCACAGCAGGAAGCCACCUCUCUGCCCGACCUCAAGGAUAAACUUGAAAACGAGAUCACAAAGAAGGACUCUCUGCAUCGACAGCACUGUUUCCAAAGGAACAGGGAGUGGCCGGGAAUGUGUAGGCAGCUGGCCAUUUUGGUCAUCCGGCAUUGAACAGGAAAACCGCAUCCAGCUUCUUGGAAACAUAGUGAGUUUGCCUGGUGUGUUUGUCAAAUGUGUCAGUCGACCCAAAAUGAUAAUCAAAGUGAAAGACUAGGAAGCCAUGAAAAUGACAUUGAGGAAUGCUGUUUGAGAGCACGUAAGAUGUUCCAAAUCAUGAGUGUAAAAGGCAGAUCGCGAAAUACUAUGUGUACAGCAUGUGAUUUAUUUUUGAGGGUUUUAAAGCAUGAUACACGGUCUGUAUAUACACAGAAAGCUAUAUGCACACAGAAGAUGGAAGGAGUCUGUGGGAACAAAUGUUAACCUGGCAAAAACCUCACCUUAUACAUGAUUUUCAAAAUGACUUUAUAUAUUUUUAAUGCUUAUUUAUUUUUGAGAGAGGGAGCCAGAGAGAGAGAGAGAGAGAGAGAGAGAGAGAGAGAGAGACAGAAAGAGCAUGAGCAGUGGAGGGCCAGAGAGGGAGAGAGGGAGACACAGAAUCCCAAGCAGGCUCCAGGCUCUGAGCUGUCAGC